ACAUCCCAUGCCAGGUGAGGCUUAUGAAAUAUCUGGAUAAAUCACACACACUGCUGCCUGGCUUCCGGCCAACAACCACAGCUCUUCUGAAAGCCCUAAGGCUUUAACCUACUAGAGGAACCUAUAAAAGGCUCCUAUCCCUCCAGAUCUCAUCAGAGGUCCUGACUCCUCCGCCCCACACUUUUCCUGUACAACUGACCAGGGUCCCCCGCUGAGCACCAAGGGACAGGCACCUAUAGCCUCGACUUUCUGCUCUGUUCUCUUCCAGGUCGGGUUCAUAAGCAGCAUUGAUGUCUCAGCAGCCGCAACAACAGCCCUUUCCCAAGAGCUCCACUCCUCCCUGCCCAGCCCCCUGCUCAGCCCCCUGCUCAGCUCCCUGUGCGGUCCCUAGGUCCGGAGGUUGCUGUCUCAUAAACCAGAGACCCAGGGCACAGAGUCCCAGCUGCAGGGGAAGUCAAAGGCAGCCCCCCAGGGCCACUCGGAGGAGACCCUGUUGCCUCCAAGGGGACAUCUACUAUCAUUGCAAAGAGGAGGAAUGCUAGGUGUCAGUGCCCUUAAGUGGAGGGGCCUUGGUCUCAGGUCUGGGGAGUUGGUGGAGGGUGUAUUGAACUGCAGUGGAUAGUAGGGAAUCUUCUACUGGCUCCUCUAAAGAAAUUAGAUGCUAAUUUUUAAAAAGAUGCCCCAAAGUCCUUCUUCUUCCAGUAAAGAAACCAUCUUCAUUGCAAGUACCUUGAUGGGGAGAACUAAAUAAAGAAGAAUUUCUUCCUUGUCCUCCAGCUAAAUAACGUAA